rnacentral:tRNA from 1 species
GCCCCCGUAGCCCAACGGCAGAGGCAACCGACUUAAAAUCGGUAAAGGUGUGGUUUCGAAUACCACCGGGGGCA